rnacentral:rRNA from 1 species
UACGAAGGGGCUAGCGUUGUUCGGAUUUACUGGGCGUAAAGCGCACGUAGGCGGAUCUUUAAGUCAGAGGUGAAAUCCCAAGGCUCAACCUUGGAACUGCCUUUGAUACUGGGGAUCUCGAGUUCGGAGAGGUGAGUGGAACUGCGAGUGUAGAGGUGAAAUUCGUAGAUAUUCGCAAGAACACCAGUGGCGAAGGCGGCUCACUGGCCGAUACUGACGCUGAGGUGCGAAAGCGUGGGGAGCAAACAGGA